CUCACUCAAUUUAGUAGACGCAAAGUCUGCGUAUGGACCAGUUAAAUCAGAAGGCUAAAUUUGUCUGCAGAGAAUAAGGAUGUCACAACAAUAAUGAACCACUCAUUCAACAAGAUUCAAGACUCAAUGGUGCUCAAAGGACUCAAAAGGUUUCACUAUUGUCUCUUUCAGUUUUCCUUUUCUGAAUUAAUCAAUUUAACCCAGUUAAUGAUGAAUUCACCUUAUGAAUGAAAAUUUAAAUAUCGAAAAUGAGGAAAAUAAAGUUGAAACCCCCUC